GAUGAACGCUGGCGGCGUGCCUAAUACAUGCCAGUCGAGCGAACAGAUGAGGAGCUUGCUCCUCUGACGUUAGCGGCGGACGGGUGAGUAACACGUGGAUAACCUACCUAUAAGACUGGGAUAACUUCGGGAAACCGGAGCUAAUACCGGAUAAUAUAUUGAACCGCAUGGUUCAAUAGUGAAAGACGGUUUUGCUGUCACUUAUAGAUGGAUCCGCGCCGCAUUAGCUAGUUGGUAAGGUAACGGCUUACCAAGGCAACGAUGCGUAGCCGACCUGAGAGGGUGAUCGGACACACUGGAACUGAGACACGGUCCAGACUCCUACGGGAGGCAGCAGUAGGGAAUCUUCCGCAAUGGGCGAAAGCCUGACGGAGCAACGCCGCGUGAGUGAUGAAGGUCUUCGGAUCGUAAAACUCUGUUAUUAGGGAAGAACAAAUGUGUAAGUAACUAUGCACGUCUUGACGGUACCUAAUCAGAAAGCCACGGCUAACUACGUG
rnacentral:rRNA from 1 species